AUGGAGUACAAGAAGUAUACAUUAACUUACGCUUGCUUGUCUGUGAUUCUUAAUCCAGCAGCCAUGUAUUCAGCAGGCACAGGAUUACCACUCUUUCACACUGCCGUCACCAAUAUACAGCGAACUGGGAAGCGUCGUCCCUCAUGUUGAUGUCUAUAAUAAUGAAUGGCAAUCUACAUAUGCUAAUUUUGAAAAUCAAACUACAAAUGAAAGGAUUUCGGAGGAAUGUCCUCAGCCAAAAGAGAAUCUGAGAUCAAUCUUAUCUGCAUCUCAGCUAGCGGAUUACACAUCGCAGCUGCUAAUGAACACAGAAGAAUGUCAAAUGAGGCCUUGUGAAAUAGGCAUAGAAGGGGCAGCUGGGAUGAAUUGGGAGGACUCAUUCUUUCAUUUUCCCUGAAGCUGUAGAUCGAAGUCCUCUAGCCUUAGAGCAAUGCUUUUGUUCUGCAGUUGCUAUUCUGGAAUUGGCGCAUUGUAAGAGCUGCUCUACAUGACUGCUGGAAUCUCAGUCUAUGCAUAUGUAUUAGUAUU